GUAGGACCCAAGAACGGCAAGCGAGUGCGUGGAAAAAGAUAGCGUUGUUGCUUGUUCCUAAAUUGAAGAAUAAACCCGUAAAAGAAGAAAAUAGAAUGAAAAGGCAGGAUGACGUGCUUUGCUUCUUAAAUUACGUGCGAAAAUCGUUGUAAAUCGUCUAAAUGCCAUGAACGUUACUAUCCUCAUUGUACAUACAGUGAAGUGAUGCGUUAAAAAUGGCGUCGAUCACGAAGAAGAAUCAGGACGAGUCCAUUAGGAGCGAAAGGAAGAUUAAGCGAGAAACUCGCACAGAUUUAUCAGCUCGUAAUUUCAUGGAGGAUCCUUGGAUUCUUCUCAUUCCUUUGGCGUUCGUGGAACUCGGAAUCGGUUCGUGAAUAUAUAUCAUGCCAGAGGCACGCCAACACGACGCACCAUAAAGUAAAAUGCAUAAUUGAGUCGCGGAGUGAUUAGGAGGCGCCUGGAGAAACUCCAGGAGUAAUGUGCGUCCCUCUCCAGUGUCCUGAGGGGGUGAAUAUCAAGGGAUGAUGGAGUACGAGGGGUGGAUCAAGGAUGAUUUGGAGUGAAGACCAUUGCCAAGGACUGAUCUCCCUGUAUCGUCGCUUCGGGACACUGUUGAGGCUUCCUGUGCAGGUUGUUGUUGAAAACUUGACCGCAGGAGGGCAGCGCUUGUUGAUCGGUACUCGACUGGGAGGGGGUACUGACUGGUAUGCGGAAGAAAAUUUGGAUUAGUGCUUCAGUCUUCGAACGGCCGAUCUGGGAUAACGCGAGUUUCGAGUUCGCGUUCUUUUCUUUCUUUGUUCCUCCUCUCCUUACGUGUAUCUCUUGUGACUCAUUCGGUGCUUCUUCAUCUUCUUCUCAUCUCUCGUCUGAGGUAUAUUCUUUACUGCUCAUGUACUUCUCUCUCUCUCUUUCUUUCUCUGUGUUCCCUACUUUCCCACUUUCUUCCGCUGGGCUAUACCUUCUUCGCGAUAUCACUUUGGUAUCGCAGUAAACUCCGCAGCAAAUAUGCCAAGACGGUUUGAGCGGUGGGGAGUCAUGGGUUGGCGUCGGCAUCCCUUUCUGCGCUCUCUAGGGGAGCGGUCACGUCAAUCUGCGUUCGCUUGUGCUACUCCACUUGGCGUAUGGGACCUCAAAUCCCGGUAACUUCUAAUCACCCUCUGCAGGAAACACUUUGCGCGCUGAUCUAGGGUUAACGUGGUUCGUCUUCGGAGAUCGAACGUGGUUCCUUACGUCUAACCUGCCCUAGCUUCGGCUUUGCGGCGGGCAGUGACGAAGGUUGAAGCGUAAAUUCAAGUCCCUUCGGGGACUUCCGGCCUCGGUCGGUGCUGAUGCCCAGUGAUUCGUUGCGGUCGACUCGGCUAGGGGUGAUCGCGAAUUUUCAUAGCCUGGCUCCUUUUCCCGUGUUCUGGUUCUGCGACACAAGCAACUGCUUAGUCCAGGCCAUUCACAUAUGCUCAUGUUGUUCAAAGUCUUGUACUCAUGUUUGUCAAUGCUUUGUGUCCGCGACCAAAGUCUGUCGAAGGUCGGAAGCCGCUUCGCGGCCCUUUAAGCUCUUGCGUCACAGCAGUCCGCUGUUACUUCGGUAUCUGUUAGCCGGGCCUCCGCUGUCCGUGGGGGUUGGGCCCGAUAGCGUGUAUUUCGCACCCUAGCCUGCUUAAUCCGGUCCAUCGCGCUUGUCCCCGGUCAAGUGUCAUGUCUGUAACAACCAUUCCCUGUCAAUAUCAUCAAAAUCAUCUCUUUUAAUCUCUUCGGGCCUUCAGUUCAUUCAUUUCAUCUUCCUUUCACUUUCCUUCCUCGCGACGCAGUAUUUCUCUACCGCGCGCGAGAGAAUUCGUAUUUUGACCAAAUUGUGAAAAGUGAAUAAAAUGAUCCUCGUCCGAAACAAUACAAAGUGCUGGAAAAAUUGUAAAAAGUGAAUAAAGGGAACCUCAUCCGAAACUACACAAAGUGCUGAAGAAACCGUCAAGUCAUCCCCAAAGCCGAUCCUGAGAAUUCAAAGAACGGACUGGACCUGCCAGCUACACAAGGAAAUCCAGACGAAGAAAGAUCCUGUGGUUCCUGGUACAUCCUUCACGGAUCGACGAUCCUCUCAGAUCUCUCGGCUGGCAAUGACACUUGGCUGGAAUGAACGUGCAGGCAGGGAAGCCAACCCUGAAAACUGAGAAAACUGAAAAAUCGACAUACAGAUUAUCCACGAUGGAACUUUGGUCACGUGACAAAUGAAAGUCAAAAGGAAGCUGUGGCCCACCCCUCAAUUACGCAAUCGUCCGGCAUCUCGAGAAUCUUGGUAAUUUGACGUGUUCCUCGAAGAAGGAGACCCCGAAGUACAUCCGUGGCAGGAACACAUUCGUCUUGGAGCGUACAAGCUCAUGUGUCUUCCAGGAAGUAGACUUGGAGGAUCCCGGAAAGUCCCUGAGAAUCGGCCGGAACUAACAGGAUCCUUACGUGGUCGUUGCUGACGCAGCCUCGUCAACGAGAUCGUUUCCCAGCAUCCGGGAUUCAGGAUAAAUCCAAGAAAGGGAGUCUACGCCUUUUCCCUGUAAUCGCGAAAACAAUUCCGAGCGACAACUCCACUUAUGAAUGCGCAACCGGGUGUAGCCGAACUCGUUAAAAAUCUGUACUCGUCAUAAUUAAUAAGCUGCGCCGAGGAUUAGCCGUGGAAGCAGGUGUAAACAUUGGAAUGCCAAUAUAAGAGGGAACAUUGGCUGGAACAGUGUAAGCUGCAGGGGACGCGGGAAUGGAAAAGCUCAAGAGGAAAGCUGGCUGUGAAAGGCGCUUGCGCAACUGUGCGGGUCAGAGUGCGCCCAGUAUAUAACCGGGCGGAUGCCGUCGUCCUUUAGUCUCGCGUAAACCGUCGUCGCGACGACUUUUCAAUCGGUUCGCCAAAUCGCGCUGCGAAUUUUCGUCCAAGUGCUACGAGUGAUAAGACAAGUGAAUUAACAAGACGAACAGCGAUAUCAAUCGAAACGUACGUGGUAGCGUAAUAAAAAGAAACGCACGUGUCGUGGGAAGAUUUACGAAAAAAAAAAUUAGACAUAGAUUAAUUAGACAUUCGAGUUCGCUUUGAAUUUUUGUACCUCGAAAUUUCUACUAAAUCGGAACACUCCCGGGCGUUUUCUUCGUGAAAAAGAUGUUCGACUUUGCUGCGAGUUCGAUUCUCGACGAAAGGAGCAAACACGAAGAGUAAAUAAAAGUCACAAGAGGGAUACGAAAAGAAACGUGGAGAAUCGUCAGAGAGGGAAAUGCAGGAACUGCUGAACUCCUUUGAAGUCGGCCGACGGAGGAAUUGAAGUUGCAAAAGUAUCGCAGGGGAAUUUCGAGGCUGCGCCUGGCCCGAGAUACACGCUUUACUCGUUUAUCGUUGGCGCACUGUAUAGAUAUAUUUAUAUAUGCGUAUAUACAUUUCGUAUAUGUACUGAAAUACACUAGCCGUAGGUUACGCAUAUGUAUGCACUUGUAAAUCAUCCCUUAUAUCGCAAUGGUACUGUAAGCCCGUGCAUCUGUAUUAACUGUACUGUACAGUGGCGUAGAAAGAAAACUAAAGGAGAAAAGUGGUAGGGAAGUGGGAUUGAAGAGAAGACGAAAAAAAGGGAUGAAAUUUAGGUUGCAAAGUCUGUAUAGGUCAUCCCGUGGCUAGCAAAUCCAUUGCAGGGUAUCUGGUUACGGUGCCGUGUGUAUGGGAUUCGAGUUUCGGAUAAUUGGACCUUAAUUCUCUUGAACGGGCUAAUUAUCGUGGAUUUUUUUUUAAUCCACACGAAAAAAAAAAAUUAACCUAGUGUAUCGCCGUACGACAGGGGUGAUAGUGGAUAUUUAGGUUUAUCGAUUACACGGAGAAGGAAAGCUCAUGGUAAAAGUUGACCAAGUGAUUGAGGUCGUCGAGUGAUUUUUCGUGUACAGGGGCGACGUUUUGGAUUUAUUAUUUCACGAAAAAUGUAUUGUAUAGGUAAAAACGAAUGAGGUCAAUUUGAGUAAACUGUAAGGUCGUGAGAGCUCGAUGAGUCUAAGAGGAAUAAAAUGUACCCGAGAGCUUUCGCCUGUUGGCGAACUCGCGAUCUCGGGGUUGAGUAUGAACGUUACUUGGUAAUUACGUAGUUAAUCUUAUCGAAUAGCCUUCUGAUAACGAGAAGACACCUCGGAAUAAGGUCAUGAGGUCAGAAAUUGAAACGGGUUAAAAAUCGGUUCGCGGGUUGAUAAAAAUUAUGUGGAUUAACAAGUGUGUACUGUGAUGCGAUUUGGAAGAUUUACCGAGGUACUUAUGGACCAGCCUAAAUGUCACGUGAAACUCAAGGUUAAGGAGGAGUGCGGGUUCACAUGGAAAUGCGAGAAAGGAUACGCGUCGCGAUACAGAUCCUCCGCAGUGGAAAUCGCCUUAAGCCAGUCAGACAGUUCAAGUCGAGCUAGCGUGUCGGUAACGGUCGGACGUCGAUGCGUCUGAGCGACGUCGACGUCGAGGAUCUCGUGCCUCCGUCGACGAUAAUAAUAAUAAUCAGCUGAACGCCGUCGUAGCUGUCAAAGUGAUCCCUCAUAUAUAUAUAUAUAUAUAUAUAUAUAUUCUGAAGAGAAAGAUGAGACGCAGGAAUAAUAUUUG